UACAGAGGGUGCAAGCGUUGUUCGGAAUUAUUGGGCGUAAAGGGCGCGUAGGCGGUGCCACAAGUCACCUGUGAAAUCUCCGGGCUUAACUCGGAGCCUGCAGGCGAAACUGUGGUGCUGGAGUGUGGGAGAGGUGCGUGGAAUUCCCGGUGUAGCGGUGAAAUGCGUAGAUAUCAAGAGGAACACCUGAGGUGAAGACGGGUUGCUGGGCUGACACUGACGCUGAGGCGCGAAAGCUAGGGUAGCAAACGGG
rnacentral:rRNA from 1 species